rnacentral:misc_RNA from 1 species
UGUUUCGGGCAGCGACGGCGCACCUCUCUCGCGAUUCGUCAGUUUUGGCUCGAGUGCGGCAUGGCCUCGGCCGAGACAAGGUUUCUUGUGCUGCGUACCCGCUCGAAGGCAUGCUUAUUUUUGUCCCAACGUUCCCCAUUCGUUCAGUGCCCCCCAUUUCCGAAGGGGCACGGGACGAAACUCGUAGCUCGGUCCAUUAGCCACGUUGUGGCGAACGGGCACCGCUCGAGCUCUCUUGGAUGCAGAAAGCAUUGAUGAGGGGCAUUGACGAUGUUGUUGUCCUUGCCCGAGCGCGCAUUAGAUAUUGACGACCGUUGCUCCCGUCUCGGCCCGGCCGUGCGGGCAGGACGCUGUCGCUGAGGAAUGCUACCUGGGUGAUCCUGCCAGU